CGCGUAGGCGGUUACUCAAGUCAGAGGUGAAAGCCCGGGGCUCAACCCCGGAACUGCCUUUGAAACUAGGUGACUAGAAUCUUGGAGAGGUCAGUGGAAUUCCGAGUGUAGAGGUGAAAUUCGUAGAUAUUCGGAAGAACACCAGUGGCGAAGGCGACUGACUGGACAAGUAUUGACGCUGAGGUGCGAAAGCGUGGGGAGCAAACA
rnacentral:rRNA from 1 species